GUAGGGUGCGAGCGUUAAUCGGAAUUACUGGGCGUAAAGCGUGCGCAGGCGGUUAUGUAAGACAGUUGUGAAAUCCCCGGGCUCAACCUGGGAAUUGCAUCUGUGACUGCAUAGCUAGAGUACGGUAGAGGGGGAUGGAAUUCCGCGUGUAGCAGUGAAAUGCGUAGAUAUGCGGAGGAACACCGAUGGCGAAGGCAAUCCCCUGGACCUGUACUGACGCUCAUGCACGAAAGCGUGGGGAGCAAACAGGAUUAGAUACCCUGGUAGUCCACGCCAUAAACGAUGUCAACUGGUUGUUGGGUGCAUUAGUACUCAGUAACGAAGCUAACGCGUGAAGUUGACCGCCUGGGGAGUACGGCCGCAAGGUUG
rnacentral:rRNA from 1 species